rnacentral:rRNA from 1 species
AUGGGUACCAGUGACAAGCCCAGCUCGGCUGAUUUUCACGGCAUCAUGGCAAACACGGCUUGCUGCAGCGCCUAUUGUUCUCAGGACUUCAUCGAGUCAAGUACCGCCAAGUACAAUCAUUCGGAGUUUAUUUUGCAUCCACCAACCCCUAUGAGUAACUAUCCUGCACUAUCAAUUGCUGCCAACAAGAUUGCUCCCCAAUUCUGCAAUGUCAGCUGUGAUGACACAUCAGCUGGUUGCCGCCUAACCAGUGUGGUGGAGCACCCAAGGACCGACUCUGAUGUAACUCUCAGCUACAUAGAACAGAUGUUGAUGCAGGACAUUGAUGACAAGGUCAGAGCACCUCAUGGCGAGACUGCCAUUAGAACCAUGGAGGAGCCCUUCUAUGAACUUCUUGGACAAAAGUAUCCAGUUUUGCCUGAUGUAACACUUUGUGGAUGUGGUCGCCUAGAGAACCUAAAUGGCAAUGGCAGCAGCCUUAAUGGACAAGUAUGCUGCAAUUGCUCUGUUUAUGUCAGCUCAGAUGAUUAUCACCCCAAUGAAAACUCACAAACAUCUCAGGCUCCAUGGACUUUAUCCACAACUGUUGGAGAGGCAAAACAAUUCCCUCUGGGUGCUGAAAGAAUGGAAAUUGGUUUGAACAUCAAUGGCCUUUCAAUUGCCAAAAAGCCUAGCCGAGAUUAUCAUUCACCUCAUAUGAAUAACAGAGACACAAUGAAGGAUGCAUCAUUUGAAGUUCGAGGUCGAAAAGUUUAUCCGGGUAUAGAAGAGCUUGAUUUGUUAGAAGGAAGGAGAAAAAAGCAGAUUGCUUUUUCCUCCGAUGAGCCGGCGCGAAAUGAGGCUUUCGACAAGGUUCUACUCUGCUCUGACCAGAAGCCCAUAGAUGAAGGUAUUAUUUCGCAACGAACCAUGGCAGAUACAUCUACCAAGUAUGCACAGAAAGACCAAGGAAGAAAGCCAGCUAGGCAAAAGAAGGGAGGUAAAACACGAAAGAAGAAAGAGGUAGUGGAUCUCAGAACUCUCCUUAUACAUUGCGCACAAGCAGUAUCUGUGAACAACCAUAGCUUAGCAAGUGACAUACUUAAAAGCAUAAGACAUCAUUCUUCACCAAGUGGGGAUGAUACCCAGAGUCUAGCGUUUUACCUAGCAGAUUGCCUGGAGAUAAGAAUGUCUGGAAAUGGGAGUCAGAUAAACCGGAACUUCAUCACUACACCAAGGAGUGCAGCAUAUAUUCUAAAGCUAUUCCAUCUUUGUUUCACAGUAUCUCAUUACUUGAAAUCAUCAUAUUAUUUCUCGAACAAAACCAUCCUUGAUGUCUCAAAGGGAAAAUCACACGUGCACAUUAUUGAUUUUGGCAUUUGCUUUGGUUUUCAAUGGCCAUCAUUAUUGAAACAAUUUGCGGAUAGAGAAGGUGGGCCGCCUAAGCUUCGGAUUACAGGUAUAGAACUGCCCAUGCCCGGUUUCCGGCCAGAUGGAAGGAAGAACAGCACACAGCUGCGAUUACUUGAAUAUGCCGGCAUGUUCAAAGUACCUCUUGAAUACCGGCAGAUCUCAUCAAAGUGGGAAUCCAUCUCCAUUGAAGAUUUGAACAUUAACAAAGGUGAAGUGCUCGUAGUCAAUUGUAUAAAUCGGAUGAAGAAUAUUGCUGAUGAGACAAUAUCCAUCAACAGCGCCAGGAACAGAGUGCUCAAUACCAUAAAGAUGAUGAAGCCGAGAGUUUUCAUACAUGGAGUUGUGAACGGAUAUUACAACAACCCCUUCUUUUUAUCACGUUUUAAGGAAGUCAUGCACCACUAUGCUUCACUGUUUGAUAUGCUUGAUAAAACGACUCCACGAGAUAACGAGACAAGAUUAAUCCUGGAGAGAGAUAUAUACAAAUAUGAAAUUCUCAAUGUCAUUGCAUGUGAAGGAUCAGAAAGGAUUGAGAGGCCCGAGAGUUACAAGGAAUGGAAGGUACGAAGCCUCAGGGCCAGGUUUGAGCAGCUUCCAUUGAAUCCAAAAAUUGUUAAAGGAAUACAACAUAUUGUGAGACAGAUUUAUCACAAAGACCUUUUUGUCGAUGAAGAAGGCCAAUUCCUAGUGUUGGGUUGGAAGGGAAGGAUAGUCUAUGCAUUAUCCACAUGGAAGCCAAGUGAGUCUAACAAUGAAGGCACUGCUGAUAUUUGA